UCCCGGUCGGCCCCCUAAGUCCCUCUCCCCCCCCCCCCCCCGGGGGCUCUUGGCGGUGUCCAGUGACGUUGGAUGCCGCUGCCGCGAUGCCGCCUGGGACUUGUAGUCCCAAGCUACGAGGCCUUGGGUUCGUCCCAGGCUACAGGAACCUGCGUCCUUAGACCCUAUCUCCUAUCGGGGGAGAAUGAACCAACGCUUUCCACAAGCCCUGCUCAUGUUGGAAUUCACGUAGCUGACUCGUUUAGCCAAGAGAAACAUAGGAACUGAAUGAAUGGAGAUUACGGACCGGUACUCCUAAAGCGGUUCGGACAAGGUUCGCAGGACAGUCUCUCGGGUUCCAGACUGGAAGAUCGUAGAGUGUGAACUGACAGAAAACCUCCAUCAAACAUUCUAAGAAUGCUGAGGGGGAUUUUGUCUGCCCCUGGACUGUUUCCCUUACCUUAACCAAAUUGGUGGGGCAUUUUCCAGCCCCUCAGACACCCACCAUUGGAGUCUGACGGUAGACCUGGCACUCCCUACCUUCAGGCAUAUUGAAGUCAACAGGCAGAAGUGAGAGCCUUCCAUCCAUGUCUGGAACAUUUUUUGUUGGCCUCUAGUAGGAUUCUGUAUUUCCUUGGUGGUAAGGAGGACCUGUAACAGCUACUAACAAGCAUCUCAAGUGGGAUGGUGAGAAAAUAAGAAGAGAGUCCAGAAAACCAAACUGAUUCAGUCGGGAGCUUCCAUGAGCUCACCAAAGACAGAUGAAGGGGAGCGGUUUGCACAUCACUCUUCCUUCCCAACCACAGACAGAUGAAGGAGAGCAGAUCGAAAAUAAUGGCUAAGUCAAAGGUGCCCUCUGGAGGCCAGCCGACAUCAAAUGCCAGCCACUCUGAGGAGCAAAAAGUCUGCCAUGGUCCCUUCUUAACCUCAACUGACAAGUUGUGUGCUCUAGCCCUAACUUCAGUCCAGUGGCAACACAAAACAAAGACCUAAGACACACAGACAAAGACCACUCUGGAAAUACAGAUGGCUGGGAGGGCGUUCAGAUUUCUACAAUCCAGGAGAACUACAGAACUACCGUAUCCUCACUGGUACCCAGACAGGAAUCUCUCAGGCGUCCCUGGGGUUCCCCCAGACCUCCUGGGAUGUCUCCCAGGGCAACACAGUCGGUGAUCCCCUGGCACAUCUACCACUCACAUCAACCGUCCCUCCUGAGACACGCACCUCCGAUUCUACCUGAGACGAGAGCGACUGCAAAACCAGAACUCUCGAGCAAAUACAGACCCAGAGUUUAGCCAGCACGGAUAUACAAAGGCACAACACAAAGACACAGACGCUAUCUCACCUCCAAGUGGGCCUUUGGAGAUGAGGGUGGUCACAAAUCGCCGACAAGCCCCCAAAUUAAAGACCCCCAGAGAGGGGAGACCUCACUCAAGUCUUGGGAUGAUGUGAUCCCCCCCACACAAGAACUCACGUAAGACCUUCAUUGCUGUAAUCUACACGAGGUUUAUUGAUAGGAACCAGUGCACUGGGGUCGAGACUCGUAUCCCACGUAUCUCCACCCCAAGUGGCUGGGAGAAGGGGUAUUUAAAGGAAAAAACCCCCACAGAAACCACAACCUAAGGGGGUAGGGAUGGUGUCAUUGGAAAAUGUCGAGAAUACCAGUGAAAAAAAUCACAAAAAGAAACUCGCUGUUUCUCAAGAUUGUUUAACUUUAUGGUCUGCCAGUUCUCAGGAGAAGCUUCCUGUUUCUCAAGAUUGUUCUUUAAGAUUUUAAUCUAACUUCAUGGUGAGUUAGUUCUUGGGAGAGAGUUGCCAAACCAGCUGGUGUAAUUGCAGUUCCAGGGCCUGACCAGUUUCCUUCUUCUGCUCUAAACUUUUGUCUAGGGGGCAACCCUAAAACUUCUACCUUUCAAUCCCACUCCCCUACCUUUGGACAGUGGGCUAGCAGUGGGUGGUUGAAGAGUUUGAGAACUGUUAUUAAAAGUAGUUUUAAAAAACCUAAACCUACAGUUCUCUGUGAGGUUGAGGCUAGCAUGGUUUACAUAGUUAGUUCCAGUACAGCCAGGCUAUGGAACAAGAUCCUGUCUCAGAAUAAGAAUAAGAAUAAGAAUAAGAAUAAGAAUAAGAAUAAGAAUAAGAAUAAGAAUAAGAAUAAGAAUAAGAAUAAGAAUAAGACAGAGAAGGAGGAGGAGGACAACAUGUUAUGAAAACUUAAGUAAUCCUCAGCCACGUACUAAAUAUUGGGACAGCAUGGGCUACAUGAGACUAUGUCUCAAAACAAAACAGAUAUAUAAAAAUGAGAUGGCUCAGUGGUUAAGAACACUAGCAGUUCUUCCAGAGGUCCUGAGUUCAAUUCCCAGCAACCACAUGGUGGCUCGUGACCAUCUAAAGGGAUCUAAUGCCCUCUUCUGGCUUGAAGGUAUAUGUAGGCAGAGAACUACAUUUAAAAUAAGUAAAUAAAUAAAUUUUUAUUAAAAA